UACGUAGGGUGCAAGCGUUAUCCGGAAUUAUUGGGCGUAAAGAGCUCGUAGGCGGUUUGUCGCGUCUGCUGUGAAAACCGGAGGCUCAACCUCCGGCCUGCAGUGGGUACGGGCAAACUAGAGUGCGGUAGGGGAGACUGGAAUUCCUGGUGUAGCGGUGAAAUGCGCAGAUAUCAGGAGGAACACCGGUGGCGAAGGCGGGUCUCUGGGCCGUAACUGACGCUGAGGAGCGAAAGCGUGGGGAGCGAACAGG
rnacentral:rRNA from 1 species